CGCUUCCCUGAGGGAUCCCGCAAAUGUUUCUUCUCACAGUCUUCUUUCCUCUCACCCUAAUCUCUCUCCUGUUCUCCCACACUCCGGACGGUAUUAUUUGACUCUCAGCGCGCUCCGUGAUAGGAAUACUGACAACUAAAUUGUCACAAGUGGCCACGUUUAAUUCACAUGCACAAUAAGCUGAGACUAAGUGGGAUACGUUACAAAAAAGGGGGUUUCCGAAAGAAGCGAGUAAGCAGUGCUGCGGCGUUUCUGCUUUUGUGCGUGCAAAAACAACAAAGAAGAGUUGGCCAAAUAAAAAAAUUAAUUAAAAAAUGCACUUGAAUAAUUUGGCUUGCACACGCUGGGGUCUUAUCUGAUCAGCACAACAGAUGCAGCGCUUUGGAUAAUAUUCACUAUUUUAAAAAAAAAUAAUGCAAUGAUUUUAAUGUGACUAAGUGAGCUCACCACAAAAUCCAAAUGAGCGCUCGAUGUACGGAGAAUCCCGAGGAGUUUCCCGUGUCUUUCUUCGCCUCAAGUUGAACACAGCGGUCGGAUGCGGUCCCACGGUCCCGACUGUGAGAGCUAGGAGGAGAACCAAGAUGGAGUAAGACUAAUGCAGAGGAGACCGAGGCGACGAGUUGGUGGUGAGAAUUUGAUGAAGAAAGUAAAUAAAUAAAGAAGAAGAACUUGCAAACAGAACCCCCGUUCCCUUCCCAGCCCUUUCCUAGAGAGAAGCAGAGGAGGUGACCCCCAGUAGCCACAAUGCAGAAGCCCCAGGGGACUGAAGCGAUAAGCCCAUAACCCAACUCACUAUGAUCCAGUCAUGGACACAAAGUCCCGAGCUCUGAGGGUACACCACCCCACAGCAGAGGCCGACAGAAUCAGGGCGCCCGGAGUCUGACAGGGUAAGCCGAUACAUACCCGAGCACCCAGACACAGAAUCAUCAACGCUCAGCUGGGCACAGGCACCAGCCAAGGAAGGGGAUUGUGAUAUCUGGUAGGGGGCCCAGGAUGAUCCACAAACUCUGGGAAGGUUCACCAAUGCUCCAUGUUUUCUCCAUCUGUGGACAUUGACUCUCAAUGUGAUUUGCUGGAGCCUCCGAGUCUUAGAAAUGUAUUUAUAAGACACAGACGGAUUGAUGUCAACAACUUUGUUUAAAAUGUUUUUUACUUACUUUUGAUCUGGGAAUCAUGUUUUGCAUUUUAGAAUAUUUUAGUGUUUUUCAUUUAGUCAGACAGGUUUCAUUUAAGUGAUUUCUUGUUUGUACAGGUCUUGCAGUCAUACCAUCUGGGAGUGGCGAGUGAAAUUAUAAUCAGCUUUACAACCCCUUUGGUUAAGCACGGUUAAUUCAAAAUAAGCAAUUACAUACAUUUAUACAAAGGGAUCGGUUCAUUUGACCAACUUUUCUCCCUUUAAAAGAUAUAUUUUGUGUAGAGAGUUUGCCUGGAAGCCUCUAAAUACUCUUUUAUUAACUCCAGUCUCCUUUUUAAUUGUGAUGGCUGCUAUUCACAAGGCAAAAGUGACAGAUGUGGGGGAAUGGAAAAGUGUUGUAGGAUGUGCAGGAGAUAAGAUUAGAAGGACACAGUAGGUAAAAAAAAUAUAGCAGAAACCCACCACUCCUUUUCUGCCUGAGAUGGGAAGAGGAAGAGGAGAAUCAUUCCAAGUGCUGAAUCUUUUCUUUUCAUAUCACAUUCCUGAGUCACCACUUCAUCUGUCCACCUACCCCCAGUUCUCUUCUCCCGUGUGUCUCUCUGUGCCGCUACCUCUCAUUCGUCUUUCCGUGCUUGCUUUUUCUCUCUCCCAUUCUCUCACAAGGAACACUGCUUGUUUGUCCAUGCACCCAAAUGUCUGCAACAUCCUGCUCUCUAUUUACAGAGCAUGUGGGAUGAAAUGUGCGUGUGUGUGUGUCAGAUUUGCACUUGUGCAACUUUGUGUAUCUCCCUAUGUUUGUGGAUUGGCUUUGUUUCUAAGUGUCUUUUUGUGAUCUGUGCAUUGAAAUAUUGAUCCGUGUUUCUAAUUUUGGGCCUUUCAAAAUCUAUUGUUAAACAUGUGAAACUGGUUGAAGUAAAGGAGAAAACAGUAGCAGUAUGUCAGCUAGUCAUUCUGAUAAUAAAUCAAUCAGGUCAUUUUCAUUUCACCUUGAAAGGACAGAAGGGAUGAAUCAGAUAGGAGGGCAGAAGAGCAUAUUAUAAAGCUUUUACCCCCUGAUUUAAAGAGCAGAGCCCACUUUUUUCCUCAUGAAAGCUGCGUAGGCUCCAGAGCCGUUUAUUUAAGACACUCUGGGAAUGAAGCCUUGAGUAGAUUUAGGUCUAAACCUGGAUUUAGAGGUGAUGAAUCUUAUUGCUACACAGCCUCUGUCAUAUCUGUAUCCAUCUGCCAGUCUUAGUUCUCUUUCAUGAAUCACCCUUUUGCAGCUAAGCUUGCCAGAGGAAGAGGGAGCAGAAUAAACAACCACAUGGAAUCAUUUUUUGACAAAAUUACAGUCUAUGCUCAAACAAGUGGCAGCCAGGAAUAGUGAUUGGUCGACAAAGUGAAUGUAGCCAUCAGAAAAAUACUCUGUAAACAACGGUGCAUAGCUACAACCUGAAGAAAUGGAAAAAAAAUAAAUCUAAAAGCAAGGAACAAGAAAGUAAGUCUAGCCUUAAUCAAGCCUGUAUAGAACAAACUAUUAAUUUGAAUUUGGCUGCAUUAGCAAGCCUAUUUUCUAGUUUUACACUGUAAAAACAUUUUGGGUAAAAACAACCCAAUUUGGUUUUCCAAACUGAGCAGAGAAUCAGAUAUGGGCCAGCUAAAGCCUGAUUUGAUUUAGCACAACAGGUUUGGCUUAGAUAUACAGUAUAUUGCAGGCAUGGAACCACAAGCCCUUCACUCAGAAGGUCAGAUUGUGCUGGU